AAAGGGUUAGGGUUGUUUUAGGGUCAGGGCCCAGGGUUAGGGUUGUUUUAGGGUCAGGGCCCAGGGUAAGGGUUGUUUUAGUGUCAGGGCCCAGGGUUAGGGUCGUUUUAGUGUCAGGGCCCAGGGUUAGGGUUGUUUUAGGGUCAGGGCCCAGGGUUAGGCUUGUUUUAGGGUCAGGGUCCCGGGUUAGGGUUGUUUUAGGGCCAGGGCCCAGGGUUAGGGUUUUAGGGUCAGGGCCAGGGCCCAGGGCUAGGGUUUUAGGGUCAGGGCCAGGGCCCAGGGAUAGGGUUGUGUUAGGGUCAGGGCCAGGGCCCAGGGUGAGUGUUGUUUUAGGGUCAGGGUCCAGGGUUAGGGUUGUUUUAGGGUCAGGGCCCAGCGUUAGGGUUGUUUUAGGGUCAGGGACCAGGGUUAGGGUUGAUUUAGGGUCAGGGCCCAGGGUUAGGGUUGUUUUAGGGUCAGGGCCCAGGGUUAGGGUUGUUUUAGGGUUAGGGCCGAGGUUUAGGGUUGUUUUAUGGUCAGGGCCCAUUGUUAGGGUUGUUUUAGGGUGAGGGCCCAGGGCUAGGAUUGUUUUAGGGUCAGGGCCCAGGGUUAUGGUUGUUUUAGGGUCAGGGCCCAGGGUUAGGGUUGUUUUAGGGUCAGGGCCCAGGGUUAGGGUUGUUUUAGGGUCAGGGCCCAGGGUUAGGGUUGUUUUAGGGUCAGGGCCCAGGUUUAGGGUUGUUUUAGGGUCAAGGCCCAGGGUUAGGGUUGUUUUAGGGUCAGGGCCCAGGGUUAGGGUUGUUUUAGGGUCAGGGCCAGGGCCCAGGGUUAGGCUUGUUUUAGGGUGAGGGCCAGGGCCCAAAAUUAUGGUUGCUUUAGGGUCAGGGCCCAGGGUUAGUUUUUUAGGCUCAGGUCCAGGGCCCAGGGUUAGGGUUUUAGGGUCAGGGCCAGGGCCCAGGGAUAGGGUUGUUUCAGGGUCAGUGCCAGGGCCCAGGGUUAGGGUUGUUUUAGGGUCAGGGCCAGGGCCCAGGGUUAGGGUUGUUUGAGGGUCAGGACCCAUGGUUAUUGUUGUUUUAGGGUCAGGGCCCAGGGUUAGGGUUGUUUGAGGGUCAGGGCCCAGGGUUAGGGUUGUUUUACGGUCAGGGCCCAGGGUUAGGGUUGUUUUAGGGUCAGGGCCCACGGUUAGGGUUUUAUGAUCAUGGCCAGGGCCCAGGUUGAGGGUUUUAGUGUAAGGGUCAAGGCCCAGGGUUAGGGUUUUAGGCUCAGGGCCCGGGCCCAGGUUUAGGGUUUUAGGCUCUGGGCCAGGGCCCAGGGUUAGGGUUUUAGGCUCAGGGCCAGGGCCCAGGGUUAGGGUUUUAGGCUCAGGGCCCAGGGUUAGGGUUGUUUUAGGGUCAGGGCCCAGGGUUGGGGUUGGUUUAGGGUCAGGGCCCAGGGCUAGGGUUGUUUUAGGGUCAGGUCCCAGGGUUAGGGUUGGUUUAGGGUCAGGGCCCAGGAUUAGGUUUGUUUUAGUGUCAGGGCCCAGGGUUAGGGUUGUUUUAGGGUCAGGGCCAGGGCCCAGGGUUAGGGUUGUUCUAUGGUCAGGGCUAGGGCCCAGGGUUAGGGUUGUUUUAGGGUCAGGGUCCAGGGUUAGGGUUGUUUUAGGGUCAGGGUCCAGGGUUAGGGUUGUUUUAGUGUCAGGGCCCAGGGUUAGGGUUGUUUUAGGGUCAGGGCCCAGGGUUAGGGUUUGAGGGUAAGGGCCAGGGCCUAGGGUUAGGGUUUUAGGCUCAGGGCUAGGGCCCAGGGAUAGGGUUUUAGGGUCACGGCCAGGGCCCAGGGUUAGGGUUUUAGGCUCAUGGUGAGGGCCCAGGGUUAGGGUUUUAGGGUGAGGGCCAGGGCCCAGGGUUAGGGUUUUAGACUCAGGGCCAGGGCCCAGGGUUAGGGUUUUAGAGUCAGGGCCAGGGCCCACGGUUAGGGUUUUAGGCUCAUGGCCAGGGCCCAGGGUUAGGGUUUUAGGCUCAGGGCCAGGGCCCAGGUUUAGGGUUUUAGGCUCAGGGCCAGGGCCCAGGGUUAGGGUUUUAGGGUCAGGGCCAGGGCGCAGGGUUACCGUUGUAGGCUCAGGGCCAGGGCCCAGGGUUAGGGUUUUAGGCUCAGGGCCAGGGCCCAGGGUUAGGGUUUGAGGGUCAGGGCCAGGGCCCAGGGUUAGGGUUUUAGGCUCAGGGCCAGGGCCCAGGGUUAGGGUUUUAGGUUCAGGGCCUGGGCCUAGCGUUAAGGUUUUAGGGUCAGGGCCAGGGCCCAGGGUUAUUGUUUUAGGGUCAUGGCCAGGGCCCAGGGUUAGGGUUUUAAGGUCAGGACCAGGGCCCAGGGUUAGGUUUUUAGGGUCAGGGCCCAGGGUUAGGGUUUUAGGGUCAGGGCCCAGGGUUAGGGUUUUAGGGUCAUGGCCCAGGGUUAGGGUUUUAGGGUCAGGGCCCAGGGUUAGGGUGAUUUCCAGGAAGUGACCUCACAGUGACUCAAGCUACCACUUACUGUUGAUUGUGACGCAAUGCCAGCUGAGGCACAUGCCUUGGGAGCUAAAUGGUUGUUGCCCUUGACUACUAUGAGGACUGGUGUGGGAAGGGUCGCUUUGGAUGCACUUGAGCAGGGGUCCCCAACCCCUGAGCCAUGGAGCCGUAAGGAGCCACACAGCAGGUGAGUGGUGUCGAGUGAGGGAGUGAGGGAAGCUUCGUCUAUAUUUACAGCCACUCCCCUUUGCUCACAUUCCCGCCUGAGCUCCACCUUCUCAGAUGAGCAGCAGCAUUAGAUUCUCAUAGGAGAACGCACCCUGUUGUGAACCGUGCAUGUGAGGGAUCUAGGUUGCCCUGUUCUUAUGAGAAUCUAAUACCUAUUGAUCUGUCACUUUCUCCCAUCACGCUCAGGUGGGACCAUCCAGUUUCAGGAAAACAAGCUUAACACGCCCACUGAUUCUACAUGAUGCUCCUACCUCCCGGCAGCCUCGCCAGGCCCAGAACUCUCUCCAGUCAGCCUCUACAGACCAAGCUCAUGACUCACAAUGGCCUAUUUAGGCCCAUACCCUACCUCACGGCAGUCUCCGCAGAUGAGCCUACUGCCUCACAACAGCCUCCACAGGCACAGCUCCAUCGUUACAAUGGCCUCUUUAGACCCAGCUCCUGCCUCCCAGCCUUCUCUCCAGGCCCUGAACUUUCUCCGUGGGACCAUCCAGUUUCAGGAAAACAAGCUUAACACGCCCACUGGUUCUACAUGAUGCUCCUACCUCCCGGCAGCCUCGCCAGGCCCAGAACUCUCUCCAGUCAGCCUCUACAGACCAAGCUCAUGACUCACAAUGGCCUAUUGAGGCCCAUACCCUACCUCACGGCAGUCUCCGCAGAUGAGCCUACUGCCUCACAACAGCCUCCACAGGCACAGCUCCAUCGUUACAAUGGCCUCUUUAGACCCAGCUCCUGCCUCCCAGCCUUCUCUCCAGGCCCUGAACUUUCUCCGGUCUCCCUCUGUUGUGCAAGGCUGGAGGGUAGUAGUGCUAUCGCAGCUGACUGCAGCCUCAACCUUCCAGGCUGAAGCGAUCCUCCCAUCUCAACCUCCCACGUGGCUGAGACUACAGGUGCUUGCCUCUAUGCCCACCUAAUAUUUGGUAUUUUCGUAUACGUGGAUUCCAGAGGGGUGACAGCGAAACGUGAGUGGGACCAUCCAGUUUCAGGAAAACAAGCUUAACACACCCACUGAUUCUACAUUAUGCAGAUUCUUCAGGCCCAGCAUCUGCCUCACUGUGGACCCCCCAAGCCAAGCUCCCAACCUUUCAGCAGCUUCUACACACCCAGCUCCCGCCUGCCAGUGGCCUCUUCAGGCCCAUGGGGCUCAUUCCUCACAACAGCCUUUCCAGUCCCAGUUUUUCCCUUCCGGCGGCCUCUCCGGGCUGAGAACCUCCUCAAGUCGGCCUCUCCAGACCCACUUGCACCCUCCAGGCGUCCUCUCCGGGCCAAGCUCCUCUUCCUGGCUGCGUCUCCAGGCCUGACUCCUGCCUCUCAACAACCUCUUUGGACUCAGUGCCUACCCAUCUCCUGGCGUCCUUGGUCGGCCCACAGCUUCAUCAAGCCAAGCUCCCCAGGCCCAGGUCAGGCCUCACGGUGCCCCCUCCACGAUGAGCUCCUGCCCUCCAAUGGCACCUGCAGGCCCCAAAUGGUCUCCGGUCGGUGGGCUCCUCCACGCCAAGCUUGGGCCUCCCGGUGACCUCUGCAGGCCCAAGUUGUCCUGAAGUCGGCAUCUCCCGGCCGUGCCUCCCAGCAAGUAAGCAAGCUCUUUUGGCUCAACUCCUGCCCAGCUCCCAACCGCCUUUGUAGGUCCCGAACUUUCUCCAGCCAAGUUCUUUGGGCCUCAUUCCUGCCGCCCGGUGGCCUGUACGGGCCCAGCAAUGGUUGGAGAAUGGCCUCUGCAGGUCCCGCUCUUGCCUCCCAGGGGCCUCUCCAGGCCCAGCUCUUGCCCUCACGGCGGCCACCCGGGGCCAAGUCCCUGCCUGCCUCCCAGCAGCCCUCAUGCGGCCCAGCUCCUCCCUCACGGUGGCCUGUUGAUGCCCAUGCCUCUGGUACCCUGCCCAGAGGCAUGAGCCCCUGCCACACACUGGCUCCUCCCAUGCUGAGAGAGGUCAGCGUGAGCCCUUGCCUCACACCGGCCCCUCCCACGCUGAGAGAGGUCAGCGUGAGCCCCUUGCCUCACACCGGCCCCUCCCACGCUGAGAGAGGUCGGCGUGAGCCCUUGCCUCACACCGGCCCCUCCCACGGUGAGAGAGGUCAGCGUCAGCCCCUUGCCUCACACCGGCCCCUCCCACGCUGAGAGAGGUCGGCGUGAGCCCUUGCCUCACACCGGCCCCUCCCACGCUGAGAGAGGUCAACGUGAGCCCCUUGCCUCACACCGGCCCCUCCCACGGUGAGAGAGGUCAGUGUGAGCCCUUGCCUCACACCGGCCCCUCCCACGGUGAGAGAGGUCAGCGUCAGCCCCUUGCCUCACACGGGCCCCUCUCACUCUGACAGAGGUCAGCCUGAGCCCUUGUCUCACACCGGCCCCUCCCACGCUGAGAGAGGUCGGCGUGAGCCCUUGCCUCACACGGGCCCCUCUCACUCUGACAGAGGUCAGCCUGAGCCCUUGUCUCACACCAGCCCCUCCCACGCUGAGAGAGGUCAACGUGAGCCCCUUGCCUCACACCGGCCCCUCCCACGCUGAGAGAGGUCAACGUGAGCCCCUUGCCUCACACCGGCCCCUCCCACGCUGAGAGAGGUCAGCGUGAGCCCUUGCCUCACACCGGCCCCUCCCACGCUGAGAGAGGUCGGCAUGAGCCCCUUGCCUCACACGGGCCCCUCUCACUCUGACAGAGGUCAGCCUGAGCCCUUGUCUCACACCGGCCCCUCCCACGCUGAGAGAGGUCAGCCUGAGCCCUUGCCUCACACCGGCCCCUCCCACGCUGAGAGAGGUCAGCCUGAGCCCUUGCCUCACACCGGCCUCUCCCACGCUGAGAGAGGUCAGCCUGAGCCCUUGCCUCGCACCGGCCCCUCCCACGCUGAGAGAGGUCAGCCUGAGCCCUUGCCUCACCCCGGCCCCUCCCACGCUGAGAGAGGUCAGCGUGAGCCCUUGCCUCACACCGGCCCCUCCCACGCUGAGAGAGGUCGGCGUGAGCCCUUGCCUCACACCAGCCCCUCCCACGGUGAGAGAGGUCAGCGUCAGCCCCUUGCCUCACACCGGCCCCUCCCACGCUGAGAGAGGUCGGCGUGAGCCCUUGCCUCACACCGGCCCCUCCCACGCUGAGAGAGGUCAGCGUGAGCCCCUUGCCUCACACCGGCCCCUCCCACGCUGAGAGAGGUCAGCGUGAGCCCUUGCCUCACACCGGCCCCUCCCACGCUGAGAGAGGUCAGCGUGAGCCCCUUGCCUCACCCUGGCCCCUCCCACGCUGAGAGAGGUCGGCGUGAGCCCUUGCCUCACACCGGCCCCUCCCACGGUGAGAGAGGUCGGCGUGAGCCCCUUGCCUCACACCGGCCCCUCCCACGCUGAGAGAGGUCGGCGUGAGCCCUUGCCUCACACCGGCCCCUCCCACGGUGAGAGAGGUCAGCGUGAGCCCCUGCCUCAACAGGCCACCGUGAGGGAGGAGCAGGGUCGCACGCGGGCUGCUGUGAGGCAGGCAGCGACUUGGGCCUGGGAGGUCGUGGUGGGGUGAGAGCUGGGCUUGGAGACUCCCCUGGGAGGCAACAGCAGGGCCUACAGACUCUGUUCUCCAGCCGGAGCUGGGACUGUUCAGGUACUGGGAGGUGGGAUGUGGGUCUGAAGAGCUUGGUUGCAGAAACUUCGGGGUCUACAAACGCAGGCGGGAGCUGAGCCAAAAAAGCUUGUUUGCUGGGAGGUGGGAGAUGCAGUCAGGAGAAACAGCUGUGCCUGCAGAGGCCGCCAUGCGGGAGGUGGAGGCCGGGCCUCCUCAAAUCGGCCUCUCCAGACCCACUUGCAGCCUCCCGGCAUCCUCUCCGGGCCCAGCUCUUCCUCCCGGCUGCGUCUCCAGGCCUGACUCUGGCCUCCCAACAACGUCUUUGGACUCAGCUCCUGCCCAGCUCCCAGCAGGCCCAAGUCGUCGUCAAGUCGGCCUGGAAUUGGGCCCAGAAGAGCAGCAAGUCGGCCUCCCCGGGCCCAGCUCCGUCCUCUCGGCGGCCUCUCCAGGUGCAAAACUUCCUCGAGUCAGCCUCUCCAGGCCCGGCUCCUCCUGCCUCCCAGUGGCCUCUUUCAGCCCAGACCAGCUCAUGGCUCUUGGCGGCCUUCCCAGGCCCCGCUUUUGACUUUUGGUGGCCUCUUCAGGCCCAGAACUUGACCUCCAGUGGGCCUUUGCAGGCCCGGCCUCCUGCCUCUCGAAGGCCUGCACGGGCCCGGACUCACAGCGGACUCACAGCGGACUCUCCAUGCCCAGCUAGCUCUCGCCUCAUUGCGGCCUCCCGAGUCCAAAGCUCCUGCCUCUCGGCCGCUUCGGCAGGCCCAGCUCCCCCCUGCCAGUGGCCUCUUUAGGCCCAGCUCAUUCCUCACAACGGCCUUCCCAGGCCCCGUUUUUCCCUUCUGGCAGCCUCUUGGCCUCUAAUUUGUUUAUCUUUUGUGUAUAAAUCCCAAAAUAUUGAAUUUUGGAAUAUUUCCACCAUUAUGUAAAUAUUUUGGUAGGUGAUUUAUUUGGGGUGAGUUUCUGCACCAAGCCCGAAUUUUUUAUUUUAUUUUCCUUAUUAUUUGGUGUUAAACAGGUUUAAUGACGGUCAUGGCAACUGUUUGGCACAAUGAAAAAUAUCGCCCAUGA